ensembl:snoRNA
AUCCUUUGGUAGUUCAUGAGUGGGGUUAUUGGGUGGGUGUACAUGCAUAUGUGUGAGAUGUGCCACCCAUGAAUCUUGUUAUGUUAUCAGUGCAUUACCUGUCUGGCA